rnacentral:rRNA from 1 species
CCUACGGGGGGCAGCAGUGGGGAAUAUUGGACAAUGGGGGGAACCCUGAUCCAGCCAUGCCGCGUGUGUGAAGAAGGCCCUCGGGUUGUAAAGCACUUUCAGUGAGGAAGAACGCCUGGUGGUUAAUACCCAUCAGGAAAGACAUCACUCACAGAAGAAGCACCGGCUAACUCCGUGCCAGCAGCCGCGGUAAUACGGAGGGUGCGAGCGUUAAUCGGAAUUACUGGGCGUAAAGCGCGCGUAGGUGGCUUGAUAAGCCGGUUGUGAAAGCCCCGGGCUCAACCUGGGAACGGCAUCCGGAACUGUUAAGCUAGAGUGCAGGAGAGGAAGGUGGAAUUCCCGGUGUAGCGGUGAAAUGCGUAGAGAUCGGGAGGAAUACCAGUGGCGAAGGCGGCCUUCUGGACUGAAACUGACACUGAGGUGCGAAAGCGUGGGUAGCAAACAGGAUUAGAUACCCGGGUAGUC